GAGGAACACGUAGCUGACCUGCCUCAGAGAGCGGGAUAACGCCCCGAAAGGGGUGCUAAUACCGCGUAAGCUCACGGGUUUUAGAGACCUGGGAGAAAAGGGCUUCGGCUCGCUUUGAGAGGGGGCUGCGGCGCAUCAGGUAGUUGGUGGGGUAACGGCCUACCAAGCCAACGACGCGUCGGGGGUCUGAGAGGAUGACCCCCCACACUGGGACUGAGACACGGCCCAGACUCCUACGGGAGGCAGCAGUGAGGGAUAUUGCACAAUGGGGGAAACCCUGAUGCAGCGACGCCGCGUGGGCGAUGAAGGUCUUCGGAUCGUAAAGCCCUUUUCUGUGUGACGAGCAAGGACGGUAGCACAGGAAUAAGUCUCGGCUAACUACGUGCCAGCAGCCGCGGUAAAACGUAGGAGGCAAGCGUUAUCCGGAGUUACUGGGCGUAAAGCGCAAGUAGGCGGUUUAACAAGUUGGUUGUGAAAGCGCCCGGCUAAACUGGGCGAGGCCGACCAGGACUGUUAGGCUAGAGAGUGAUAGAGGGGCGCAGAAUUCGGGGUGUAGCGGUGAAAUGUGUAGAGAUCCCGAGGAAUACCAGUGGGGAAGCCGGCGCCCUGGGUCAUAUCUGACGCUGAGAUGCGAAAGCGAGGGGAGCGAACGGGAUUAGAGACCCCGGUAGUCCACGCCGUAAACGAUGUGAACUAGGCGUCGGCGGGUUCAAAUCCGUCGGUGCCGCAGCAAACGCGAUAAGUUCACCGCCUGGGGACUACGGCCGCAAGGUUAAAACUCAAAGGAAUUGACGGAAU
rnacentral:rRNA from 1 species